UACGUAGGGGGCUAGCGUUGUCCGGAAUCAUUGGGCGUAAAGCGCGCGUAGGUGGCUCCAUAAGUCCGUUGUGAAAGUUCAAAGGCUACAACCAUUUGAAAGCCGAUGGUGAACUACUGUGGAGCUAGAGUACGGAAGAGGCGAGUGGAAUUCCUGGUGUAGCGGUGGAAUGCGCAGAUAUCAGGAGGAACACCAAUAGCGAAGGCAGCUCGCUGGGACGUUACUGACACUGAGGCGCGAAAGCGUGGGGAGCGAACAGG
rnacentral:rRNA from 1 species